rnacentral:misc_RNA from 1 species
UCCCCGUUACCGAGGCAGUCUGACUAGAUAUUACAACUAGCCAUGAGGGUUGCGCUCGUUGAAGGACUUAACCUAACAUCUCACGACACGAGCUGACGACAGCCAUGCAUCACCUGUCACCGAGUUCCUUGCGGCACAGUCUGGUUUCCCAGACCUUCUCGGGAUGUCAAACCUUGGUAAGGUUCUUCGCGUAUCCUCGAAUUAAACCACACGCUCCACCGCUUGUGCGGGUCCCCGUCAAUUCCUUUGAGUUUUAAGCUUGCGCUCGUACUCCCCAGGCGGAAUGCUUAACGCGUUAGCUUCGCUACCGAGCCGGUCGAUAGGCCCAACAGCUAGCAUUCAUCGUUUACGGCGUGGACUAC